rnacentral:lncRNA from 12 species
AUGCAGUGCACACGUGUGGUGAUAAAUGGAGGUGCCACGUCCAGCGGUGAGCAGGACAAUGAAGACACUGAGCUCAUGGCAAUCUACACGACAGAAAAUGGCAUUGCAGAAAAGAGCUCUCUUGCCGAAACCUUGGAUAGCACUGGCAGUCUAGACCCCCAGAGAUCGGACAUGAUUUACACCAUAGAAGAUGUCCCGCCCUGGUACCUGUGCAUUUUUCUGGGGUUACAGCACUACCUGACGUGCUUCAGUGGCACCAUCGCCGUGCCCUUUUUGCUGGCUGACGCCAUGUGUGUGGGGUAUGACCAGUGGGCCACUAGCCAGCUCAUCGGGACCAUUUUCUUCUGUGUGGGAAUUACAACCUUACUGCAGACAACGUUUGGAUGCAGGUUACCCCUGUUUCAGGCCAGUGCUUUUGCAUUUCUGGCCCCUGCUCGAGCCAUCCUGUCUUUAGAUAAAUGGAAAUGUAACACCACAGAUGUUUCAGUGUCCAAUGGAACCACAGAGCUGUUACACACAGAGCACAUCUGGUAUCCCCGGAUACGCGAGAUACAGGGUGCCAUCAUCAUGUCCUCACUGAUAGAAGUGGUCAUUGGCCUCCUAGGCCUGCCUGGGGCUCUGCUGAAAUAUAUUGGACCCUUGACUAUCACACCAACGGUGGCUCUCAUCGGGCUGUCGGGCUUCCAGGCAGCAGGAGAGAGAGCGGGGAAGCACUGGGGCAUCGCCAUGCUGACAAUUUUCCUAGUAUUACUAUUUUCACAAUAUGCUAGAAAUGUUAAAUUUCCUCUCCCAAUUUAUAAAUCCAAGAAAGGAUGGACCGCAUACAAGUUACAGCUUUUCAAAAUGUUCCCUAUCAUCCUGGCCAUCCUUGUGUCCUGGCUGCUGUGCUUCAUCUUCACAGUGACAGAUGUCUUCCCUCCCGACAGUACAAAGUAUGGCUUCUACGCUCGAACAGACGCCAGGCAGGGCGUGCUCCUGGUAGCCCCGUGGUUUAAGGUCCCGUACCCGUUUCAGUGGGGACUGCCCACCAUCACCGCAGCUGGUGUCAUCGGCAUGCUCAGCGCAGUUGUCGCCAGUAUCAUUGAGUCCAUUGGGGACUAUUAUGCCUGUGCAAGGCUGUCCUGUGCCCCGCCACCUCCCAUCCACGCAAUAAACAGGGGGAUUUUCGUGGAGGGUCUCUCCUGUGUUCUCGAUGGCAUAUUUGGUACUGGGAAUGGCUCUACUUCAUCCAGUCCUAACAUUGGAGUUUUGGGAAUUACUAAGGUGGGCAGUCGCCGGGUGAUCCAGUACGGCGCAGCCCUCAUGCUGGCGCUGGGCAUGAUUGGGAAGUUCAGCGCCCUCUUCGCCUCCCUCCCAGAUCCGGUGCUUGGCGCCCUCUUCUGUACUCUCUUUGGAAUGAUUACAGCUGUUGGACUCUCCAACUUGCAGUUCAUCGACUUAAAUUCUUCCCGGAAUCUCUUUGUGCUUGGAUUUUCAAUCUUCUUUGGGCUCGUCCUUCCAAGUUACCUCAGACAGAACCCACUUGUCACAGGGAUAACAGGAAUUGAUCAGGUGUUGAACGUUCUUCUCACAACUGCUAUGUUUGUAGGAGGCUGUGUGGCUUUUAUUUUGGAUAACACCAUCCCAGGUACUCCAGAGGAAAGAGGAAUCAGGAAAUGGAAGAAGGGCGUGGGCAAAGGAAGCAAGUCGCUCGAUGGCAUGGAAUCCUACGAUUUGCCAUUUGGCAUGAACAUUAUUAAAAAAUACAGAUGCUUCAGCUAUUUACCCAUCAGCCCAACCUUUGUGGGCUACACGUGGAAAGGCCUCGGGAAGAGUGCCACUAGCCGGAGUUCAGAUGAGGACUCACAGGCCACGGUAUAGCUGUAGCUCACCCUGUGGCCCGGCCGCAGUGAGGCAUGAAUCUGUAGUUCCUUCCUGAAUAACAAGCAGUAACAUAUAUGUUUGUAUAUCUGCAUUUACAUUCUGCACCCAGAGCUAAGACGAUUACAAAUAGCUUUUUUGUUGUGGGUGGUGAUUGUGUCUAAUAUCGUGUCUCACCUGUCUCCUUAUUUAAGCCCUACCCUUUGCCCUUGAGAGUGUUCAUUGAACUUGAAGUUCCUAUCCUCAUAUGGGAGUGGGUGUUUGAAAUCCACAGCAGUUCCUUGGUUUGGGUCUCCUUCCACCACCGUGGGCUAGCUUUCCCACAAGCUGCCUCGGUGGCCCAGGGGCUUUCUGUCCUAGAAGCCCCUGGACCUGCCUCUGUUUUAUUUGACCUCAGCCUACAACCUGCAGAGACCUCCCUCUAGUCCAGGGGCACCACUAUUCUCACACUGUCACAGCUGACUGGUCAAAUGUGAUUGUGUUUCCUGAUACUCCUGAGGAAGGAAGCUCUUGACCUGGUUGAAAACAGUGAAAUGGUUACCCCAUGCCCACGUCUGCGUGGGUGAGGUUUGUACAGGUAUUCUUAGAAUUGAAAUAUGUUGUUUGAGGGAUUGGAGGGGAAGGAACUUAUCUUGAAGUCCUAUCUGAUUCUCAACUGCUCUUUCUUGGUACCACCCUUGCCCACACUGGGCCAGCACAUUUCAUACUGGCUUCUUUUUCACUAUAAUUGAGACACUCUGACAUUUAUCACUCUGGGCUGGUGUGAUGGGUAUAGAGUGCCACACAGGGCACUAAGCAGAUGUUUAUGGGAGUCUUGACUCUGCUGUCAUGUGGAUGUCAGUUACUGUUGCGCGUGUCUAUAAAUUACAAGAUUUUAUUCCUAUUUAAUGUUAUUGACUAUAGCAGAUUUUUGAAAUCAGUGUUUUUCCAUGUGACCCUCUUACCUUGCAUCCCUGUUACUUAUCUCCCACCCCUCACCUCCCAUUAAGAAAAGAACCAGCAUUUGUAAAGCUGUGGACACCAUCAGGGAAGCUUGUCGUCAUGGCUUUUGAAGGCCAGUAAUCAUUAUUGUGGUUGUGUUUUGUAUUGCUUGAUACCAUGAAAAUGUAAAUACUGUAAUGCCUAAUCUAUUUAUCAAAACUGACUACUGGACCAGAGCCCAGAAACCAUGGGUUAAGUUAUACGUGAAUUUGUUUUGUGAAGAAGGGAAGCUGGGGGCAGAUAAUCAACAGAGCAACCAUAUUGAGUGGUCGGACAUCUUGGUAAAUUCAUCACUGCAGUUGUGAGUGUUUUCUGAACUUAAGACUUAAGGAGACUUUGUGUGGGUUGCCACAUUGUGUGUCCACUGGAUCUUGAUUUUGCAAAGGGGAGGAUUAGACCCCCUGGCCAAAUGCACCUUUAUUGUUUAAGUCCUUGCGAGGUGGUGAGAAAAGCAGUUGGCAGGGCCUCUUCUGUUGAGUUCUCGUUAAUAACACUAAAUCCUUUCUGAAAAAAUGACUUCUGUGGAAUUUGGUUUGAAAUUUUUCAGCCAAAGGAAAACUCUCAAACAUGAAGUAGCAACCCAGCCACGUGAGGUGGUGCUUCUUAGGUGGUUUGUUGACCUGGUUGACCCUUUUAUGGCCUCGGGUAUUCCUAUCUCAGACAGCAGGGCAUGGUUCUCAGCAGCCUUGUGUCCACUGGGUGCGUUUUCUUGCCCCCACAGCUGGCUCCGCGCCACCGCAUUGGGAUAUCCUUGGCAGCAUUACUGUGUCACUACAGCCUCCCUGACUCCUGGGAAUUUUGGGGCUUCGCAGCAGAUUCUGGCAGGAACGGUUCAGAGCUGCAUUGUUUUGGCCAAGAUCUAGUUGAAGAUUAAGUAAAAAAAAUUAGAUUCUAAAUUACAUUUAAUUCUGUAUGUUGUUUUUAAAAAUUUAUCUGAUGCAUAAUUAACUUUAGAAGCACACUGGUUAACGACUCUUAUCCCUUUUACUUGGUAAGCACUUGUUGCCUAAGGCCAUCCUGCACCAACCUGCUCUCAGUUUCCAUUUGCAUUUUUGCUCAGCGUCUUUAAUUUUUCUGCUCUGAAAAAUGGGGAAGACUGUUAAACAUGCCAGAGAUUCUAGCUCUCUAGAGGAGCAGAAGGACCAAAUAUCCAAAUAAAAGCAUCUGAACCAUUGGAUAAUCUUAACUUUCAGCUUAACGUGACCGGGCAUCUUCCCUCCCAGUGAGUGACACUCAGGAUAUGUGCUUCAAACAUCCCUCCUUGGGCUGGGUUGUAUUGGGAGAUUCCAAAUCUGCUGGUCUGGGGGCUGUAAGCUUUUAAAUGUGGAGGGAAGCCCUAUACCCCCAUCUUCUGUUAGAAAUGAGGGGUUUGUCCUUCUUGUUCCACUGGGGCCAACUUUAGAUCCCCUAAGGUUGGGUGGGGGAAGGGGACAGGAGGUGGGGAAGAACGAGGGCAGCUCGACUAGAGGUCUCAAUGAGUCUGAUACUUUCUGUACAGUGUGAAACUCACCUUAAGUGUUUGGAGUCUCUAUGAUUUAGACAGUGGUCCUCCUGCUGGCAAAUAUGUUACAGAAUGAGUCUGUAACGAAGAGAAAAAUGUAUUCAUCUGCUCCUUAGGCUUAAGCACAAACCUGAAAAGGAGGUUUCGGGGAAUGCAGUGGCCGUGCAUAGUCCGUGCCUGUGCACUUCCCACUUAUGUUGUUGGCCUGCAUUGCUGGGGCUGCAUACCCACCAUGCUUUGGCCAAAAGAAUGUUUUAAAGUGUUUUGGAUAUAAAUGUCCUUGGGCGGGGCAUUCAGACUCCAAUUUCCGUAGUGAGCACCUACUCACCAUCUUUACAUUUACCUUGGCGAUCUUGAUGUGAGAAGUACCAAGUAUUUAUAUGGACAGUAAAUGCUGUCUUAUCAUGGUGGGUGGCAAGGGAGAUCCCACCACUGGUUUUAAUAAAAUAUCUAACAUGAUUGACAUAAUAAUGGGAAAUGGCUCCAGUCUUUGUCACAUUAGGGAAUUAAACUUAGAUUCAUUCAUACCAACCCUUUAAGAGGAUUUCAGAUGUGAACUUUUAAGUUUCUGGUGAUUGGUGAAGGCAAGAGAAGUGGCUUAACCAGGCCAGCUAGAAUGAAGCAUCAUGAGUCCUGAUGGUUUCCCAUUUUCAUGGUAACAAAUUCACACACAGGAUUUGCUUUAUACUGUAGAAUACUGACUUUCAUGAUGACGACUUGGUUUAUGCAUGAAUAUUGCAGUAUUUCCAUAUAGUAAAAUAACAUUUCUACCCAGGAUAAUAGUCACAGUUUUCCAGGGAGGGAAUGAUACAAUUUUCAUGACAAUGUCAUGUGAUAAUAGAAUUUCUCCAUUGAUGAAUCUCUAGUAUGUGUGUAUACUUUGUUUACCCAUGCGUCUAUUUUAUCACCAUGAGCUAAGUUGGUAUUUCUUUAGUUCGCAGCCCUGCUGAAAUACUGGUACUGGCAACUUAGACUUGAAGUUGGUAACUAUAAUCUUCCAAUACCGAUGCCACAAGAGUGGCCAGGCCAGGUAGAAGGUGAAUAAUAGGGAGCUGUGGCAGAUGUCUCCUUCUGGAACAUGUUUGACAGUGAGCAGCAGUGUCUGCGUAGGUGCCGCGCUCGGGCUGGACCCCGAAGCCACAGCCCCCAGGCACCCUGGCCAGCUGUGGCUGUGCUCUCACUGCCCAAGGGCCUGAGACUUCACUUGGCAGGGCCCACCUCUCAGGGGAGCCGCCCUUUGCCUCUGAGAAGCACCUGGGGUUUUCACAUGCUGUGCGUGUGGUGCUCUGUCCCCUGAUGAUUCAGACACCCGCCACUUCAUCUGCAGUCACAUCCCGAGUAGCGCAAGAAGACUGCCCAUUGUUGCCGGCAUUCGGCCUCAACCAGUGGACAUGGAGAGCAUGUUAGCGCUGGGCACCCCUCAUUCAGCAGCCUCAUACACAUUCCUGUCCUUUUAGGUUGUUCUUGACUGUGCCUCGUCAUCACUCCACAGAAGUCACAUCCAGCAUCCUUAGACUUGCUGUGUCUGUUUCCUGGCACUUAGAGCACCCUCACCAGUGUUGCUGUCUCACUGACCCCUCAAUCUAAUCCCCCUUUCUGUUCGUUUGUAACAACCUUUGUGGGACACAUUAAUAAAUUUGACUGUUCUCAAAGCAGUGGGGAUGCCUAUAUUUUCCUUGAGUUUUUGUGACUGACUUUGGCUAUAUAUACCUUUCUGGGAUUUUUUGUUUUUUAUUUUUAUUUUGCAUACUGAGGGUAUUUGGGGGUGGGGUUGUUUUUUGAGAUGUGUAAUUCUUUUAUGGAGUUUUUAAAAAGAAUUUUCAUAUUGUUUUUCUAACAUGGCUUCAUUAAACGUUUAAGUAUUUUAAAAAUAUGUAAUAUUUGGACCAGAUGUUGUGAAUAAUAGUAGAGAUAAAGCUAUUUUAUUCUGUAUUUUUAAAACCGUUCCGUACAAAUAAAAGCUCUCCUGGACCCAGUU